rnacentral:rRNA from 1 species
AUUGAACGCUGGCGGCGUGCCUAACACAUGCAAGUCGAUCGGUAACGCGGGGGCAACCCUGGCGACGAGAGGCGGACGGGUGAGGAACGCUUGGGAAUCUGCCUAUCAGCGGGGGACAACACGGGGAAACUCGUGCUAAUACCGCAUACGCUCUACGGAGGAAAGCCGGGGACCGCAAGGCCUGGCACUGAUAGAUGAGCCCAAGCCGGAUUAGCUAGUUGGCGGGGUAACGGCCCACCAAGGCGACGAUCCGUAGCUGGUCUGAGAGGACGAUCAGCCACGCUGGGACUGAGAAACGGCCCAGACUCCUACGGGAGGCAGCAGUGGGGAAUAUUGGACAAUGGGGGAAACCCUGAUCCAGCGACGCCGCGUGGGUGAAGAAGGCCUGCGGGUUGUAAAGCCCUUUCGGUAGGGACGAAAGCUCUCGACCUAACACGUCGGGAGGUUGACUUAACCUACAAAAGAAGCACCGGCUAACUCUGUGCCAGCCGCCGCCGUAAUAC